rnacentral:rRNA from 1 species
GCAAGUCGAACGGAAAGGCCCCCUUGUGGGGUACUCGAGUGGCGAACGGGUGAGUAACACUGAGUAACCUACCUUUGACUUUGGGAUAACUUUAGGAAACUUGGGCUAUUACCGAAUAGGAGCUCCUGCUGCAUGGUGGGGGUUGGAAAGUUUCGGCGGUUGGGGAUGGACUCGCGGCUUAUCAGCUUGUUGGUGGGGUAGUGGCUCACCAAGGCUUUGACGGGUAGCCGGCCUGAGAGGGUGAGC